GUCUAUGGCCAUGCUACCCUGAACAAGCCCGAUCCCAUCUGAUCUCAGAAGCUAAGCAGGGUCGUGCCUGGUUAGUACUUGGAUGGGAGACCACCUAGGAAGAUCAGGUGCUAUACGCG
rnacentral:rRNA from 1 species